AAUUCUCAACUCUCUUAUACUGUUUUUGUAAAGGAGGGCUUGGAUUGUGGAGGCUUGCUGGCCGCUUGUUUGAGGUCAGCUCCUCUGAAAUGCAUUAGCAGAACCGUUUGCGAUCUGCCACAAGUGUGAUAAAUUAUCUACACUGGCGAGGGGAUUGCUCACUGUGUUGUUCAGCUUCAAAUUGUCUCUACUUUGUGAGACUACUUUUUGAAUAC
rnacentral:misc_RNA from 1 species